AUUGAACGCUGGCGGAAUGCUUUACACAUGCAAGUCGAACGGCAGCACGGGGGCAACCCUGGUGGCGAGUGGCGAACGGGUGAGUAAUACAUCGGAACGUGCCCGGUCGUGGGGGAUAACGUAGCGAAAGUUACGCUAAUACCGCAUACGAUCUGAGGAUGAAAGCGGGGGUCCUUCGGGCCUCGCGCGAUCGGAGCGGCCGAUGUCAGAUUAGGUAGUUGGUGGGGUAAAGGCCUACCAAGCCGACGAUCUGUAGCUGGUCUGAGAGGACGACCAGCCACACUGGGACUGAGACACGGCCCAGACUCCUACGGGAGGCAGCAGUGGGGAAUUUUGGACAAUGGGCGCAAGCCUGAUCCAGCCAUUCCGCGUGCAGGACGAAGGCCUUCGGGUUGUAAACUGCUUUUGUAUGGAACGAAAAGGCUCUGGCUAAUACCUGGGGCUCAUGACGGUACCGUAAGAAUAAGCACCGGCUAACUACGUG
rnacentral:rRNA from 1 species